UGACCUAUUCAACUCUUCACUAGUCAGCUGCUGUGGCCUCUCUGUUUCCCUCCCUAGGACUCUCAGGAUUCCUUCCAAAGAAAGGGAAUGGACUCCAAUCCUGGGCUGGGUCUGCUUCUGGGGACACUCUGUAGCAAGAUCUGCAUGGCAUUUUGAUAAAGCCUGAAUUAACCUGGAAGCAGAUUCCUCCCUGUCACAGUUCUGCCAAGAUCACAGUCCCACAAUGCUUUGCACAGCCAGAAGACCCAAGCCCAGUUGGCCUCACAGAAAUGGUGACACAGGGCUUUGGACUUCUGUCAGUUCUCCUGCAGGAAGCCCAGACUACCAUGCUUACACCAUCCUGCAGAGAGCCACACUGUGGGAAGCAGAGACACACCAUUUCUCACAAGUGAUCCCAGACCAGCUAAUCCACAAGAGCCCAGUAACAGGCCAAAGAUACCCAAGUGAGUCAGCUGGGAGCAAAGGAGUCACCCAGCCAAGCCCGACCUGCAUGGCUGAUUGUCUCUGUACGUGGUCCUGGCUCUCCUGGCUCCCGAGAUACAUAUUAACUGGCCUCGAACUCACAGAGAUCCUACUGCCUCUGCCUUCUAGUGUUGCGAUUAGAGGUGUGUGUCACCAUGCCUAGCCCAUCCUUGUACCUAUUAGGAGUUUAGCUUCUGGCUGGAUUACCCAUCUCAGAGUGAAGUAAAGAUGGCAGCUUGUUCUCUACUGUCAGACAAGGACUUUAGCUGUUAGCAAAAUCGGCCCCACUAGCUCCAGUCUUCUGGAAGAUUCUUACCACACCCUAAAGAGCCCACAGGAACCUGACAUGUUUAAAUUGCUGACAAGGUGGGUGUGGAGGAAGCAGCUAUAAUGAAGAAGAAACCUUUCUUCUAUAAGAUAGAGAAACGUUAGGUUCUUGCUGAGACAAUAGGGAAGAAGCCCAGAGAGCAGGAUCCCACGGAAGAGUCACACAGCAUGUGGACACUGAUCAGACCUGACCUGGCCUGGUCUUUGACUUUGCCUGUGUCAUCACGCCUGGGGUUGGAACUACCCCACCCCCAUCCAUGAAGACUCCUGCGCCCUUUCCAGGAAAUGUACAGACAAGAGCAGGAAACUGUUGAGUUGCCUAUUUUUCUUUCCCUGCAAAAUGGUUUUAUUAUUUUCGUUGAACAAAAACAUCCUAAUGUAUUGAGGAUGGGGAAGAGAAAGACACCCAGACCUUAAAAUAGACUUGAUAUGCCUGUACUUUUGGCUGGAGCAUCCUUGCCGGUAUCCUGGGAAAGGAUAUCUGAAAAACCGGAACUCCACCCACUCUGCCCUCUAGGUUUGAGCUGUCGAAACUCCCUGGUGGCAAAAGGGUACUCUAGAUCAGGGGAAGCAGCCUUCGAAACAGCCUUGUGGCUGCUCUGGGGGGCCCUGUGGUUUCUCUUUAGCCAGCUGGGGGACCUUGAGUAAAUGACCCAACCCCUCUGAUACUCGUGUAACGUGGGGAAGACAAGAGAGUUCUAUCUCCCUUUACUCUCUCGCUUACCACAGGCUGUUUCCCACAAGUCUGAAGGCACCAGUGCUACAGAUGGAGGUAUGUGUAAAUUUGGUUCCAUCGCUGCGUACCCACUGUGAUAACAUGGAUGUAGUGAUGGUACCACACUCGGAUGGCGCCACAGUUUAUAUAUGUGUCUGUAUGUAUAAUAUAAUGUGUGCGCGUAUAAUAUAUGUAUGCAUAUACACACAUCUACUAUCUAUCUAUCUAUCUAUCUAUCUAUCUAUAGAUAGAUAAUAUGCAUGUGCUC
rnacentral:lncRNA from 1 species